AAUACAAAAAUUAGCCGGGCGUGGUGGCGCAUGCCUGUUAUCCCAGCUACUCAGGAGGCUGAGGCUGGAAAAUCACUUGAACCUAGGAGGCGGAGGUUGCGGUGAGCCAAGAUCAUGCCAUUGCACUCCAGCCUGGGUAACAAGAGCGAAACUCCGUCUCAAAAAAAAAAAAAAAAAAUCCUAUCUUCCACAGGGGGAAGCCAAUAUUUGCCUAAAGCUGAAAAAUCAUUAAAUAAACAAUCAUGCAUGCUAUUUUGAGAUGCAGUGGUUUAGAUUAUCAAAGAAAGUAGUGAAAGUUAUUGUCUUUCAUGAGAGGGAAAGGACAGAAGUGGAGCAGGAAGCAGUUGUUGGU
rnacentral:lncRNA from 10 species